CUCAAACAAACUUUUUGACCGUGAUGGACUUGAGAAUGGAUUUAUGUUUAUUUUGAUGUUUAUUUAUUUAUUUAUUUUUAUUUAUUUAUUUAUUUUUACUUUUGACUAAAUGGACAAUGCGUGGAUUGGAAUAUCCAACUUUAUCUUCAAAGCUUUCUGGAACCGUUCUUUGCUGGACUCAAAACCCGUCGUUGUGGUCAACUCCUCUCUGCGUCUCAAGUCCGCCAACGUGCAUUGCGAGCUACUAGACAAACUGAUAUGAGCGGGAAAGCUGUUCAUAGGGAGGUUUCUUGAACCGUUCUUCGAUGGACUCAAACCUCAUCAACUCCACUCCAGGUCCCAAGUGCGCCAACAUACACAGCAAGUCACUGAGCAAACUGGUAAUACUGAAAAAAGGCAUCCACACAGGUACAAAGCUGAUUGCUGCGUCUUUUCAUCGAGUGAAUAUUGGAUUUUCUGCUCUGAACACAAUGUAGCUGUUUACGUGGCCUGUGCCUGUAAUGCUGGUUCUCUCCAUCCACUGAUCCCACGUGCCACCACGGCUGCGUCAGAGAAACAGCACAGUGACAGACAUGAAGGAAGCAGAUCUCACGUAAUGUUUGUGAGAAAUAAUACAGCUUCUGUUUAUGUCUUACUUGCUUUCUGGAACCGUUCUUGGCCAGACUCAAACCCCACUGUUGCAGUCAACUCCUCUUUGCAUCUCAUGUCCGUCGACGUAUGCUGCGAGCCACCUUGACAAACUGCAGGACAACAGCAGGAAAGCCGU